AAGAUCUGCAGAACAUUUAUCUACAUCUACUGAUUGCAACUCAAUCGCUUUAAUUAAGCUAAGACCUCC
rnacentral:tRNA from 1 species